UGAGGUGUAAAACGGCCGUGUUGGCUGC
rnacentral:piRNA from 1 species